rnacentral:rRNA from 1 species
UUCCGGUUGAUCCCGCCGGACCUGACUGCUAUUGGAGUAGGACUAAGUCACGCUAGUCAAAGGUGCAGAAUGGAGCACCUGGCGUACGGCUCAGUAACACGUAGUCAACCUACCCUAAGGACGAUGACAACCACGGGAAACUGUGGAUAAUCUUCGAUAGGAAAUUUGGCCUGGAACGGUAUCUUUCCUAAAACCGGCUCGCCGUGAGACACGGGCCUUAGGAUGGGGCUGCGGCCGAUUAUGCUUGAUGGCGGUGUAAAGGACCACCAUGGCGACGAUCGGUAUGGGCAAUGGAAGUUGGAGCCCAGAGUCGCUAACUGAGACAAGGUAGCGAGCCUUACGAGGCUUAGCGGUCGCGAAAACUCGCCAAUGCACGAAAGUGUGAGUGGGCUACUCCAAGUGUCAUUCUUACGGAUGACUGUCGCUCAGUAUUACAAGCUGAGAAAGGAAGGAGAGGGCAAGGCUGGUGCCAGCCGCCGCGGUAAAACCAGCUCUUCGAGUGGUCAGGACGAAUAUUGGGUCUAAAGCGCUCGUAGCCGGACAUGUAGGUUCCUGGUUAAAUCCGACAGCAUAACUGUCGACCUGCUGGGAAUACCGCAAGUCUUGGGAGCGGGAGAGGAUAGAGGUAGUCAUAGGGCAGGGGUGAAAUCCAGUGAUCCUAUGGCGACCACCGAUGGCGAAGGCAUCUAUCUGGAACGUCUCCGACGGUGUGGGGCGAAAGCUAGGGGAGCGACCCGGAUUAGAUACCCGGUUAGUCCUAGCCGUAAACGAUGCCGACUAGGUGUUGUGACGGCCAAGAGCCGUUGCGGUGCCACAGCGAAGGCGUUAAGUCGGCCACCUGGGGAGUACGGUCGCAAGACUGAAACUUAAAGGAAUUGACGGGGGCGCACCACCAGGAGUGAAGCCUGCGGUUUAAUUGGAUUCAACGCCGGGAAUCACUAGUGCGGCCG